rnacentral:lncRNA from 1 species
CGCAUUCCUCGGACAUUUUCGGGGUUCUUCUGUCCUUCCAUUUCGCCGCAUUCCUCGGACAUUUUCGGGCUUUUCCUCGUGCGCUCGUGGUCGGACGGAUAAAACGGUGAGGCGACCCGCACGGAGGACCUUGGAUGCGGGGCCCACGCGGCUCGGGCGGCGCGUCGAGGUGCGGGCAUAAGAGCAAGGAGAGUGGCUAGUAUGUCGGAUGCGAUCAUACCAGCACUAAAG